CAGUAGCCACGGGAAUACGUAGGGUGCGAGCGUUAAUCGGAAUUACUGGGCGUAAAGCGCACGUAGGCGGAUCGAUCAGUCAGGGGUGAAAUCCCAGAGCUCAACUCUGGAACUGCCUUUGAUACUGUCGAUCUGGAGUAUGGAAGAGGUGAGUGGAAUUCCGAGUGUAGAGGUGAAAUUCGUAGAUAUUCGGAGGAACACCAGUGGCGAAGGCGGCUCACUGGUCCAUUACUGACGCUGAGGUGCGAAAGCGUGGGGAGCAAACAGGAUUAGAGACCCCAGUAGUCCCUGUCUCUUAUAC
rnacentral:rRNA from 1 species